ensembl:lncRNA
CACACACACACACAAGGUCACUGAGCUCCACAUUUCAGGAUUCAGAAUUUUUCCUUAAGGGCUAAACGGUGACGCACGGAUUAAACGCAGCGCGCGGGACGGGGGGGGGGGAGUACGAGUUUCCACCUCGGUGUCCUCGGUUGAAAUGGGCCCUGCCAGAAACAACAUCUGCAGCAGGAACCAACGAGGGAGCAACAGCUAAAGAGGAGAAGGUGAGAAGGUCCGCGUUCAUAAAGCAACAACACCCCCCCCCUCCAGUACGAAAAAAAGACCCUGAGGACCUGCUGACACGCACAUCGCAUAACCACGGGGAGGGAGUCUGACUCAGCGAAGGAGAACCGUCGGACCCGCUCCUGUUCUGGCCUGCCCUCGGCUAAGGAGGCCCAGCGUGAAGCAUCAGGUCUGCUCCACAACACGCGGGGCUCCUCGCGGGCCGGUUCAAUGCACAUUCCGGGUCAUCAGCGCCAAUACACUCGUCGUCGUGCGCCGAAAAGCACCUCCGUGUUAACAAAGUUGAAGAUUUUGGGGGCGGACACCUAAUCGCUGAAGCGGGCCGGCUCGUCCUGCCUUCGCUUUCCAGCCACACAUUUUUUCCAGAACCGGCGAGCCCUUCUCACCCCCCCGGAACCACAUGACCCAUCUUCAGCAUCAGCACACGCUACUGUACCACCAUCAAAUACAAAAUGCACACAGGCACACUCACACACACACACACACACAAGCAGGCCUCUCGCUCUCAGUCGGAGCGAUGGAAAAACAGAAAAGGCGGAGCGCAUCGCCUGCCCUCACACGCACAACUUGUUGUGUAAACUGUUACUUCAGGCCGACAAGCACACUGUAUUUUGCCCUCUGUCGCUCUCACACACACACUUUAUAACGACAUCCCGUCCUUCAACCAUCAACGACACACGCCGUCGGGGCGCGUGAGCAGAACGCCGGUCCUGAUCCCCCGGCUGCACAGCCAGCGCCUCCGAGAUGUCAAGAAAUAAAACGCCAGGGGGAAAAAAAAAGAAAGAAAGGAAAACACAGAAGAAAAUUAAAUGAGAUAAAAAAAAAAUUCCCAAGAAGGAGGGCGGUGCAGUGAGCGGCCAGAAUGUCUCUCUUUAAUCCCAGACAGAUGUGCAGCCAGACACAAACUACGAGGCGGAGACGAAGAGAACCCGAACAAAAACACCCCCCCCAUGCAAAGAGUGUGAAACAAAGCUGGAGCCACCGUGCUGUUGUGUUCGGAGGCUGUGGUCUCUCUGUAGUUUCAUUUCUAAACGGUCUGUGUCUGCAGAGAAUAAGACCGGGUCGUCCAUCAUUACAGCUGAAUGUGCACACGUCAUUUUGGGGCCUCACACCAAAGAGCUACUCAAUAUUUCUGAGCUGACCAGAUUUGGCAAUGAAACAAUCAGUUGUCCCACAAUUCUUUUUUUAAAUUUUUUUCAAACGAUGCCCCCACCACUCUUAGACCAACAUCUGCUUCUAAAAACUGGAUGGCUGACCUCUGACCCCCGAGGGACGUUUCCUAUUUUCUUUCAAAUGUAAUGUGAAGAGAGGAGCCUCUCUCAUCGAAUCACACAGCAGCAAGGAGGAGGAGGAAGAGGAAGAAGAUGGAGUACGGUUACCUCAUCUGGACCCUCCGUCAACACAGUGUGUGUGUGUGAGGGAGUAACACACACACACACACACACACACACACACAGCUGACUCAUUGCGUUCAGCUGCGGGUCGCCGGUUUCAACAACAAACAGCAGGAAAAAAAACGUUCAUUGUUACGAGUAAGUGCGCACACUCGGCCUUAAAUGACAUUUGAGGAGAUGCAGCUCAAUUGACUCCUCCCCUUUAUCCCCUGGUCAAAAUGAACCAGGGGAUAAAAGGGAAUGAAUGAAAAUGAAACAUUAAAAUUUGCACUCCUCUUCCCGCUUGUAUGUGAAACCCAUGUGGACCGCUUCGGGACACAUUUAAAUCGAUGCAAACUUGUAAAUUGUAUGUGAAAGCGGCUCCGGCGUAGAGACUCUAUCGGCAUCGGGAGACGUCCCAAACAAAUGGGAGCGCUGCGUCCACCAUCAACAAGGCGGGAUGUGUUUUGAUUUUUAGCUCGGCGGACCUAAUAACUGGUGACUGAGUGCAUUGUUCCAUGGACGGACAUGAGCACACAGACGCCCCGGCUCCAGCCUCCACGCCGUUUAAUGUGCGAGUGCCUCUGCAGAUUCAGCGCUGACACAGCAAAACGCACCGCAAACCACUACAGGGGAGUGCUGCAGGACACCGGACACCACGACCCGGUGUCGGGUUCACGUUCGGCCGCUAGUUCGGAAUGAGGUAACGGGCGAAUGGGGUAACGGGCGAAUGGGGUAACGGACGAAUGGGGUAACGGACGAAUGGGGUAACGGGCGAAUGGGGUAACGGACAAAUGGGGUAACGGACAAAUGGGGUAACGGACGAAUGAGAUAACGGACGGGAGAAUACCGUUCACUUUACAUCCUACCGUUGAAAUGAAUUUGGGUUUGAGCUUUCUUGAUUAGGUCUAGAAAAUUAGUUAACAUUGGCGACUGGAGAAGAUCAUUCCCUGAGUUAGCGUGAACAUCCAAUUUAAAACCGUUACUGUCAUAAAAAUGUCCGCUUGUUGCAAGUUUGUCGGAAACCCAAUCAAUCGAUUUCAACAGCAGGGUGGAGAUGGUUUCAGUGCAACGCGUGUUUCAGUUUGACAAGUGGCCGUGCUGACUGGUGACCGUGCUGACUGGUGACCGUGCUGACUGGUGACCGUGCUGACUGGUGACCGUGCUGACUGGUGACCGUGCUGACUGGUGACCGUGCUGACUGGUGGCCGUGCUGACUGGUGGCCGUGCUGACUGGUGGCCGUGCUGACUGGUGACCGUGCUGACUGGUGGCCGUGCUGACUGGUGGCCGUGCUGACUGGUGGCCGUGCUGACUGGUGACCGUGCUGACUGGUGACCUGCAGCCGCAUAUUUACCAACAACAGCUGAGUCACUGAGAGCUUCUCAGGCGACUGAAACGAGCGGUUGAUUUCAUCGACAGAUGUGAGAAAGAACAACGUUUCUCCAUACAGAGUUACACAAAUAUUGCCACUUGAAACCUUUGCUCCUUAAAUGUCUUGGAGUCAAACACAUUUAAAAAAGCAUUUAAAAACAUGACAAGAAAUCUCGUCACUCAGAAGUAAUAAGUCAGAUUAGCCGGCUCGGAGCGGCGAGCGGCAGAUAACGCGGCCAGCGUCUCCGGCUUCAUGCUAGCGAAACACGCCGACCGCCACUGGAGCGGCCAUUUUGAAAGUGAAUCCCUCUGACGUAUUGAACAUAAACUCCAGUGACUUGUUCCUCGCGUUACCAUCGGUAUCGGAUAGCGUUCCCGCACUCCGCCGCGGUUCGCUUGCAGAGCGGCGUGAGGACACUCGUGUAGGGAAAAGGGUCUAUUUCCUUGAUAUGAAGCCUGUCUGUUGGUCUGUCUGUCUCAGCCCGGGGACCAGGGGGAAUUUCCUGAGAGAAGGACGGAUGACUUUUCCAUACACGAAGAAGAAGAAGCAAACAACUUCAGAUGGUGACCCGACGUGGCCCCUCGCUCGAAAAUAUCCCCGCGCAGAUGGAAGCGGCACAUCCAGCCUGACGUUUACAAGACGGGCGCGGAGCCGCCAGUGGAAGCACACGGGACAACACGUGGGGCCCGGAAGGGCCCAUGUUCCAUUUCCCACAGCAGCCAUGCAGCCGAACGCGGUUUGAAGAUAUUUACCGUGUCUUUUACUUCAUGGUGCCGGAGGAGAAACAUAUGGACCUGCCCUCACAAAGUGUUUGCAAAGAAUUAAAAAUGACCCCAGAAAACUACCAAUAAUUCCUCUUCCCUCGUCUGUUUUAAUGAUUAUCAAAAGGAAUUUCCUUAAAACCAGACGAUCCAAAAGGCAGUUAUGGGAUUUUUCUUCUUCAGUUGUGACUUUAUUCUGUUUGUCUCUUUGACCAAGAGUGGACACGAGGUCAAUUCGAAGUCCUUGAACCACAACCUGAAUCAUUAUCUAGUAAAUAUUAUGGUAUUACGGGUAUUGGAUGGCUACAUUUACUAUGUUUGAGUGUGUUUGUGCUUGAAAAAUGACAAAACAUCUGCGUUCCCAAUAAGGAACGCUUGUGUUUUCAGUAGUUUGUGCCGUUGCUCGUUCCCCCACACGCGAGCACGAAGGACUGGAGGAGCGGCGCCGUGCGCCGGGAUCAAUCAGCUGGAGGGAAAAAGCAACUCAUAAACAUCGUCUUUGUUCGCCAACUUGAAUCGUCCGUCCCGUUCCAAAGUCUCCAUUUGACGUUUUAUCGGCUUGAGUAUCGUUUCAUUUCCUGUUUGUCCCGAACAGAUGUGACCAGAUGUCCCCACACGACCUAACAAAACUAAUCAAAGCGUCCUGAUGGACUAC